rnacentral:rRNA from 1 species
AAAGGGAGCAAUCCCGGCCACGGAUGGGCAUGCGGCGCAUUAGCUAGUCGGCGGGGUAACGGCCCACCGAGGCGACGAUGCGUAGGGGUUCUGAGAGGAAGGCCCCCCACACUGGUACUGAGACACGGACCAGACUCCUACGGGAGGCAGCAGUGAGGAAUAUUGGUCAAUGGGCGCGAGCCUGAACCAGCCAAGUCGCGUGAGGGAGGACGGCCCUACGGGUUGUAAACCUCUUUUGCCGGGGAGCAACGGGCGUCACGUGUGGCGCCACUGAGAGUACCCGGAGAAAAAGCAUCGGCUAACUCCGUGCCAGCAGCCGCGGUAAUACGGAGGAUGCGAGCGUUAUCCGGAUUUAUUGGGUUUAAAGGGUGCGUAGGCGGAUCGUUAAGUCAGUGGUCAAAUUGAGGGGCUCAACCCCUUCCCGCCAUUGAAACUGGCGAUCUUGAGUGGAAGAGAAGUAUGCGGAAUGCGUGGUGUAGCGGUGAAAUGCAUAGAUAUCACGCAGAACCCCGAUUGCGAAGGCAGCAUGCCGGCUUCCGACUGACGCUGAAGCACGAAAGCGUGGGGAUCGAACAGGAUUAGAUACCCUGGUAGUCCACGCGGUAAACGAUGA